ensembl:miRNA
CCGGCUGCCCCUGCCCUUCCACUCCAAUGGCCUCUCCUCUUCUGCAGUGGGUGGGACUGGAGGGCCCUGGAGACCCCCCAGCACACUCGCUGACUGAGGGAUGAUGUGAGUGCCAUGGGCCUGGGGAUCUGAGCAUGGAUGUG